CACAUGCAAGUCGAACGGAGCUGAGAGGAGCUUGCUUUUCUUAGCUUAGUGGCGAACGGGUGAGUAACGCGUGAGUAACCUGCCCUGGAGUGGGGGACAACAGUUGGAAACGACUGCUAAUACCGCAUAAGCCCACGGCCCGGCAUCGGGCUGAGGGAAAAGGAUUUAUUCGCUUCAGGAUGGACUCGCGUCCAAUUAGCUAGUUGGUGAGGUAACGGCCCACCAAGGCGACGAUUGGUAGCCGGACUGAGAGGUUGAACGGCCACAUUGGGACUGAGACACGGCCCAGACUCCUACGGGAGGCAGCAGUGGGGGAUAUUGCACAAUGGGGGAAACCCUGAUGCAGCGACGCCGCGUGGAGGAAGAAGGUUUUCGGAUUGUAAACUCCUGUCGUUAGGGACGAUAAUGACGGUACCUAACAAGAAAGCACCGGCUAACUACGUGCCAGCAGCCGCGGUAAAACGUAGGGUGCAAGCGUUGUCCGGAAUUACUGGGUGUAAAGGGAGCGCAGGCGGACCGGCAAGUUGGAAGUGAAAACUAUGGGCUCAACCCAUAAAUUGCUUUCAAAACUGCUGGCCUUGAGUAGUGCAGAGGUAGGUGGAAUUCCCGGUGUAGCGGUGGAAUGCGUAGAUAUCGGGAGGAACACCAGUGGCGAAGGCGACCUACUGGGCACCAACUGACGCUGAGGCUCGAAAGCAUGGGUAGCAAACAGGAUUAGAUACCCUGGUAGUCCAUGCCGUAAACGAUGAUUACUAGGUGUUGGAGGAUUGACCCCUUCAGUGCCGCAGUUAACACAAUAAGUAAUCCACCUGGGGAGUACGACCGCAAGGUUGAAACUCAAAGGAAUUGACGGAGGCCCGCACAAGCAGUGGAGUAUGUGGUUUAAUUCGAAGCAACGCGAAGAACCUUACCAGGUCUUGACAUCCGAUGCAUAGCUUA
rnacentral:rRNA from 1 species